CCUACGGGAGGCAGCAGUGAGGAAUAUUGGUCAAUGGGCUUACGCCUGAACCAGCCAAGUCGCGUGAGGGAAGACUGCCCUAUGGGUUGUAAACCUCUUUUGUCAGGGCGCAACGCCGGCUACGUGUAGCCGGACUGAGAGUACCUGAAGAAAAAGCAUCGGCUAACUCCGUGCCAGCAGCCGCGGUAAUACGGAGGAUGCGAGCGUUAUCCGGAUUUAUUGGGUUUAAAGGGUGCGUAGGCGGACUGCCAAGUCAGCGGUAAAAUCGCGGGGCUCAACCUCGCUCCGCCGUUGAGACUGGCGUUCUUGAGUGGGCGAGAAGGAUGCGGAAUGCGUGGUGUAGCGGUGAAAUGCGUAGAUA
rnacentral:rRNA from 1 species